GACGAACGCUGGCGGCGUGCUUAACACAUGCAAGUCGAACGGAAAGGCCCUGCUUGCUGGGUACUCGAGUGGGGAACGGGUGAGUAACACGAGGGUGAUCUGCACUGCACUUCGGGGUAAGCCUGGGAAACGAGGUGUAAUACCGGAUAGGAGACAUUUGUAGUGUGAAGGUUGGAAAGUUUUUGCGGUGUAGGAUGAGCUCGCGGCCUAUCGGCUUGUUGGUGGGGUAAUGGCCUACCAAGGCGGCGACGGGUAGCCGGCCUGAGAGGGUGGACGGCCACACUGGGACUGAGAGACGGCCCAGACUCCUACGGGAGGCAGCAGUGGGGAAUACUGAACAAGGGGCGCAAGGCUGAUGCAGCGAGGCCGCGUGGGGGAUGACGGCCUUCGGGUUGAAAACUCCUUUCGCUAGGGACGAAGCGUUUUGUGACGGUACCUAGAUAAGAAGCACCGGCUAACUACGUG
rnacentral:rRNA from 1 species